GCCAGACUCCUACGGGAGGCAGCAGUGGGGGAUAUUGCACAAUGGGGGAAACCCUGAUGCAGCGACGCCGCGUGAGUGAAGAAGUAUUUCGGUAUGUAAAGCUCUAUCAGCAGGGAAGAAAAAAGACGGUACCUGACUAAGAAGCCCCGGCUAACUACGUGCCAGCAGCCGCGGUAAUACGUAGGGGGCAAGCGUUAUCCGGAUUUACUGGGUGUAAAGGGAGCGUAGACGGCAAUACAAGUCGGAAGUGAAAUACCCGGGCUCAACCUGGGAACUGCUUUGGAAACUGUAUGGCUGGAGUGCUGGAGAGGUAAGCGGAAUUCCUAGUAUAGCGGUGAAAUGCGUAGAUAUUAGGAGGAACACCAGUGGCGAAGGCGGCUUACUGGACAGUAACUGACGUUGAGGCUCGAAAGCGUGGGGAGCAAACAGGAUUAGAUACCCUGGUA
rnacentral:rRNA from 1 species